rnacentral:lncRNA from 1 species
CUACACUGGCAGGAUUCUUUACCACUGAGCCACUAAGGAAGCUUUACUUUUUACUCUAAGGGGCUGCAAAAGGCUGCUUCAUGGUCAGCAACCCACGCUGGUGCUACCCCAGGGUCCUGCGUCUGCGGGACCAAACCGCAAGAAGGAGCGACUGGAUGUGGACAGAAACGAUCACCAAGAUGAAUUCUGGACUCCACCAUUCGAAAAACAGCAGGUCCUCCUGCCGCUUCUUCUAACCCUCCGCCUGCCUCGCCUGCCCCCCCUCCGUCUCGGGCUGGAGGGGCGUCAGCCCAGGUGCCUCUGGAAGCUACACCUUGCCCUUCUUCAAAACAAGUUUAUAUCUGUAUCCAGAAGUGGAGUGUUUCCUGCCGUGUCAGCACACAAAGAUGUCACAGCCAUCGGCGAUUCCGGCCCUCCAAAUGUGAAUAUCUGAGCCCCGAGGGCGCCCAGGAAGAAGGAUGAAGCUCUCAAAGACCAGCUCUAAGGAGCUGGGGGUAUUGGUGGCGGGGCGCGGGCAUGUGAAAAAACGCAGGAUUCUGGCUCCGCUAGCUGAGAUGCAUAUGAAAGGAAUGAUUUCUGCAAGCCCAGGCUCUUGCAUCUUUUCGUACACAGAAAAGUGCUAAAUUCCUUAACUUGAGAUAUCUGUUUUUUCAUAAUUAAUAAUAAUCUUUUGAUGUUCAGACUACUUGCCCCUUGUUGCAAACUUCUAUAUAAUUUCACUCCUCCGCACCACCCCCCCACCACCACUUUAUCAGUAGCAGUUCUCUCAGGGUUACUUGGGAUGCUGUCUCCCAGGCUUGCCGUCUUAAAAUUCCCACCAAAUAAAACAUAACUCUUGACUUUUAUGUUG